rnacentral:tRNA from 1 species
GAGCGCAAUGGAUAGUGCGUUGGACUUCUAAUCCAAAGGUCGUGGGUUUGUAUCUCACCU